rnacentral:rRNA from 1 species
CACGUAGGGCGCGAGCGUUGUCCGGAAUUAUUGGGCGUAAAGAGCUCGUAGGCGGCCUGUUGCGUCCGCUGUGAAAGCCCGGGCUUAACCCCGGGUCUGCAGUGGAUACGGGCAGGCUAGAGGUAGGUAGGGGAGAAUGGAAUUCCCGGUGUAGCGGUGAAAUGCGCAGAUAUCGGGAGGAACACCGGUGGCGAAGGCGGUUCUCUGGGCCUUACCUGACGCUGAGGAGCGAAAGCGUGGGGAGCGAACAGG